rnacentral:rRNA from 1 species
UACGGGGGGGGCAAGCGUUGUUCGGAAUUACUGGGCGUAAAGGGCUCGUAGGCGGCCAACUAAGUCAGACGUGAAAUCCCUCGGCUUAACCGGGGAACUGCGUCUGAUACUGGAUGGCUUGAGGUUGGGAGAGGGAUGCGGAAUUCCAGGUGUAGCGGUGAAAUGCGUAGAUAUCCGGAAGAACACCGGUGGCGAAGGCGGUCUGCUGGGGUCGAACUGACGCUGAGGCGCGACAGCGUGGGGAGCAAACAGG